UCUUCCGCAAUGGACGAAAGUCUGACGGAGCAACGCCGCGUGAGUGAUGAAGGUUUUCGCAUCGUAAAACUCUGUUGUUAGGGAAGAACAAGUACCGUUCGAAUAGGGCGGCCCCUUCAUGGUACCUACCCUGAAAGCCACGGCUAACUACGUACCUGCAGCCGCGGUAAUACGUAGGUGGCAAGCGUUGUCCGGAAUUAUUGGGCGUAAAGCGCGCGCAGGCGGUUUCUUAAGUCUGAUGUGAAAGCCCCCGGCUCAACCGGGGAGGGUCAUUGGAAACUGGGGAACUUGAGUGCAGAAGAGGAGAGUGGAAUUCCACGUGUAGCGGUGAAAUGCGUAGAGAUGUGGAGGAACACCAGUGGCGAAGGCGACUCUCUGGUCUGUAACUGACGCUGAGGCGCGAAAGCGUGGGGAGCGAACAG
rnacentral:rRNA from 1 species